rnacentral:rRNA from 1 species
AUUGAACGCUGGCGGCAGGCCUCACACAUGCAAGUCGAGCGGAGCGGCGGACGGGUGAGUGAUGGCUAGGAAUAAGCCAGGUAGUGGGGGAUAAAGUCGGGAAACGGGAGCUAAUAACGAAUACUAGGAGAUGAGACUAGUUUGGAUUAGCUAGUUGGUGGGGUAAAGCCCUACAAAGGGGACGAGCAGGAACUGUUCUGAGAGGAUGAUCAGUCAAACGGGAACUGAGACACGGUCCAGCCUCCUACGGGAGGCAGCAGUGGGGAAUAUUGGACAAUGGGCGAAAGCCUGAUCCAGCCAUGCCGCGUGUGUGAUGAAGGUCUUCGGAUUGUAAAGCACUUUAAGUUGGGAGGCGUUACCAACAGAGUAAGCACCGGCUAACUUCGUGCCAGCAGCCGCGGUAAUAC